AUUGAACGCUGGCGGCAGGCCUAACACAUGCAAGUCGAACGGUAGCACAGAGAGCUUGCUCUCGGGUGACGAGUGGCGGACGGGUGAGUAAUGUCUGGGAAACUGCCCGAUGGAGGGGGAUAACUACUGGAAACGGUAGCUAAUACCGCAUAACGUCGCAAGACCAAAGAGGGGGACCUUCGGGCCUCUUGCCAUCGGAUGUGCCCAGAUGGGAUUAGCUAGUAGGUGGGGUAACGGCUCACCUAGGCGACGAUCCCUAGCUGGUCUGAGAGGAUGACCAGCCACACUGGAACUGAGACACGGUCCAGACUCCUACGGGAGGCAGCAGUGGGGAAUAUUGCACAAUGGGCGCAAGCCUGAUGCAGCCAUGCCGCGUGUAUGAAGAAGGCCUUCGGGUUGUAAAGUACUUUCAGCGAGGAGGAAGGCGUUGUGGUUAAUAACCGCAGCGAUUGACGUUACUCGCAGAAGAAGCACCGGCUAACUCCGUGCCAGCCGCCGCCGUAAGAC
rnacentral:rRNA from 1 species